UACAGAGGGGGCAAGCGUUGUUCGGAAUUACUGGGCGUAAAGGGCGCGUAGGCGGUCAGCACAAGUCAGUUGUGAAAUCUCCGGGCUUAACCCGGAAAGGUCAACUGAUACUGUGCGACUAGAGUGCGGAAGGGGCAACUGGAAUUCUCGGUGUAGCGGUGAAAUGCGUAGAUAUCGAGAGGAACACCUGCGGCGAAGGCGGGUUGCUGGGCCGACACUGACGCUGAUGCGCGAAAGCCAGGGGAGCGAACGGG
rnacentral:rRNA from 1 species